rnacentral:rRNA from 1 species
AGCGAACGCUGGCGGCAGGCCUAACACAUGCAAGUCGAACGAAGUCUUCGGACUUAGUGGCGGACGAGUGAGUAACACGUGGGAACGUGCCUUUAGGUUCGGAAUAACUCAGGGAAACUUGUGCUAAUACCGAAUGUGCCCUUCGGGGGAAAGAUUUAUCGCCUUUAGAGCGGCCCGCGUCUGAUUAGCUAGUUGGUGAGGUAAAGGCUCACCAAGGCUACGAUCAGUAGCUGGUCUGAGAGGAUGACCAGCCACAUUGGGACUGAGACACGGCCCAAACUCCUACGGGAGGCAGCAGUGGGGAAUCUUGCGCAAUGGGCGAAAGCCUGACGCAGCCAUGCCGCGUGGAUGAUGAAGGUCUUAGGGUUGUAAAAUCCUUUCACCGGUGAAGAUAAUGACUGUAGCCGGAGAAGAAGCCCCGGCUAACUUCGUGCCAGCCGCCGCAGUAAUAC